rnacentral:rRNA from 1 species
UACGGGGGGAGCAAGCGUUGUUCGGAUUUACUGGGCGUAAAGGGCGCGUAGGCGGCGUGACAAGUCACUUGUGAAAUCCCCGGGCUUAACCUGGGAAUGGCAUUCGGGACUGCAAGGCUGGAGUGCGGCAGAGGAGACUGGAAUUCCUGGUGUAGCAGUGAAAUGCGUAGAUAUCAGGAGGAACACCGAUGGCGAAGGCAGGUCUCUGGGCUGACACUGACGCUCAUGCACGAAAGCGUGGGGAGCAAACAGG